rnacentral:miRNA from 1 species
GAAGGCAGCAGUGCUCCCCUGCGACAUGCUCCAUUACCGGGCAGAGAAGACGCUGCUGCUACCUC